ensembl:snRNA LOC120099434 U7 small nuclear RNA
AAUUUUUCAUAGCUCUUUUAGAAUUUUUCUAAUAGGGUUUCUCAGAAAUCCCAA